AAGGUACUCCGGGGAUAACAGGCUGAUACCGCCCAAGAGUUCAUAUCGACGGCGGUGUUUGGCACCUCGAUGUCGGCUCAUCACAUCCUGGGGCUGAAGUAGGUCCCAAGGGUAUGGCUGUUCGCCAUUUAAAGUGGUACGCGAGCUGGGUUUAGAACGUCGUGAGACAGUUCGGUCCCUAUCUGCCGUGGGCGCUGGAGAAUUGAGGGGGGCUGCUCCUAGUACGAGAGGACCGGAGUGGACGCAUCACUGGUGUUCGGGUUGUCAUGCCAAUGGCACUGCCCGGUAGCUAAAUGCGGAAGAGAUAAGUGCUGAAAGCAUCUAAGCACGAAACUUGCCCCGAGAUGAGUUCUCCCUGAGACUUUAAGUCUCCUGAAGGAACGUUGAAGACGACGACGUUGAUAGGUCGGGUGUGUAAGCGCAGCGAUGCGUUGAGCUAACCGAUACUAAUGAACCGUGAGGCUUAACCUUAC
rnacentral:rRNA from 1 species